rnacentral:rRNA from 1 species
UACGUAGGGUGCGAGCGUUAAUCGGAAUUACUGGGCGUAAAGCGUGCGCAGGCGGUUCGGUGUGUCUGAUGUGAAAUCCCCGAGCUUAACUUGGGAAUGGCGCUUGAAACUACGGUGCUGGAGUGUGGCAGAGGGAGGUGGAAUUCCACGUGUAGCGGUGAAAUGCGUAGAGAUGUGGAGGAACACCGAUGGCGAAGGCAGCCCCCUGGGCUAACACUGACGCUCAUGCACGAAAGCGUGGGGAGCAAACAGG